rnacentral:rRNA from 1 species
GGACUCACACAAGCAGUGGAUCACGCGGCUUAAUUCGACAACAAACGAAGAACCUUACCCAGACUAGAAACCCAACUGACCAUCCUAUGAAAGUAGGACUUCGCAAGACAGUUGGGCAGGUGCUGCAUGGCUGUCGUCAGUUCGUGUCUUGAGACGUACCGUUAAUUCGGGUAACGAACGCAACCCUUGCCCUGUGUUUUAUAUGUCACAGGGGACUGCCCGAGAUAAUUGGGAGGAAGGUGAGGAUGACGCCAAGUCAGCAUGGCCCUUGAUGUCUGGGGCUGCACGCAUGAUACAAUGGCCGGUACAAUGGGCUCUGAAAGCGUAAGCUGGAGGAUAAUCCCACCAAAGCCGGUCUCAGUUCGGAUUGAGGGCUGAAACUCGCCCUCAUGAAGCUGGAAUUGCUAGUAAUCGCCAAUCAGCUAUGUGGCGAUGAAUACGUUCCUGAGUCUU